GAUUUGAUCCCUGGAUUGAGAAGAUCCCCUGGAGGAGGGCAUGGCAACCCACUUCAGUAUUCUUGCCUGGAGAUUCUCAUGGACAGAGGAAUCUGGUGGGCUAUAGUCCACGGGUUGCACAGAGUCAGACACGACUGGGCACACAGAAUUUCUGGAGGUCAUGCUCAAGAAUUGGGAACGGCAAAUGAGUUUUGGCUUCUUCAUCAAGAUGAAUUGAUUCCUAAUGGCCACUUGGAAGCACAGCGUUGAGAAGGAUUUGCUCAGUGGGAAAGACUGUCCGCCAUCGAUUGGUGCUGUCUGCCAUCCUGUUCGUUUCGUGCUGUCUGUCUUGCGUGCAGGAUUAGCAGUCGUGGUGCAAGCGCUGAGAUUAUCUGCUGAGUUUUGUCUGGAACUUAACAACAACAAGUCCGUGUUCGUUAAAAUAAAAAAUUAAGCUAAUGUUUUUGAUGGUUCAAAUUUUACAUUUGAAAAAUACAAUAGGAUUCCAUAAAGAUUUAUUUUUUUGAAAGGAAUACUGUGAAAAGUCUGUCUUACUUCUGACUUCUUGACAUCCAGAAAUACCCUUCGCCCUAAG
ensembl:lncRNA